AGCUCUACGGGGUCGACAGCACGUGUCACCACCAGAUAGUCACGCAGCGCGGUGCUGUGUCGGUUCUC
rnacentral:sRNA from 19 species